rnacentral:rRNA from 1 species
UACGUAGGGCGCAAGCGUUGUCCGGAAUUAUUGGGCGUAAAGAGCUCGUAGGUGGUUUGCCACGUCCGCUGUGAAAUCCCAAGGCUUAACCUUGGGCUUGCAGUGGAUACGGGCAGACUAGAGGUAGGUAGGGGAGAAUGGAAUUCCCGGUGUAGCGGUGAAAUACGCAGAUAUCGGGAGGAACACCGGUGGCGAAGGCGGCCAACUGGACCAUUACUGACGCUGAGGCGCGAAAGCGUGGGGAGCAAACAGG